rnacentral:misc_RNA from 1 species
ACUUCAAUUUUCUUCUCAUUUCCAAAAAAUGUCAAUUCUCUCUCCGGCAACCACAUCAAGCUCAGCGCCCCCACCGCCACAAGCAUUUCCAAAGUUCGAUGCCAAAAAUUUUCAGUCUCUCCCUUCUCUUCCUCUCCCCAUUAAUCCCCACCUCUCGUUCGUUCUUCGCUCCAAUCCCAAUGUACGCCUCUGCUGUCUCCACGCUGCGUUAUCCCCCCAGCCGCCUCCAGAGUCCGACCCGCCUCCCGAAAAGGACCUUGUUCGGCCCAAAGGUUCAAAUUCUAAGAACAUCCUGUUUAAUCGAUUAUAGUUAUGUUCCAAGUUGCCAAGUAUCUGCGUUGUUGAGUUGAUAAUUUUAUCAUUGAAUUCAUUCCUGAAUAUAUAAAAUACGUUCAUGCGCUUUUAAAAAUUUUGAAAUUAUUUGGAAAAUUGAUGUUUUGCAGUGCAAAAGCUGUCCAGCUGUAUUCCAAAAUAGCGAUUAAUUAAUGGAACCCCGAGGGCUUGCUUGCUAAUUGGGAUAGUCUUAUACAUACUCAUGCUGGGUAAAACUGGCUAGCUUAAUAUUGAGAAGUUUGGUUUUUAACUUCUCAGACCUCAUGGUUCGAGAUAACACAAAGUUUUGUGGAGAGGAGUUCUCACUCAAAAGAAUUUUCGGUAUGAAAAUUAAAUGAGUAAUUUGAGGACUUAAUUGCAUUUACGAGCUUACAUUUGAUGCGUUUCCGGAUUUAUUCAUUAUUUCUAAUGAGAAGAGAAAGAUAUCAAUGAGCUACUUUUGGGCAAAUCCGAAAUGCAUGCAUGGGAUUUAGACCAGUUAUUGCAUGUAUAACUGAGUUAAAAGGAAAGAAGAAGAGAGUGGGGUAGUGGGAUCAUGGAGAUAAGCGACAAGCCACACUGGCAGUGGCAGAAUAUGGUUUUGGUGAAGCUUCAUGGAUCAUGGGUCUUAUAUAGACUUUAAAUUAGCAUCUCUGACUAGAUAGCAGUGCUUACUGCUUAAGCUUUGCUCUCAAGAAUAGCAAGUAAAUUUGUACUUGAGGUUUUCCUAACGGAGACCUGGUAUCCAUAGUGGUUAUAUAUGAUCACCUCGCAUUGUGAUUGCAGUAGUUCUUAAUUAAACAAUAGAACGCUAGGAUUGGUGCCGAGCACUAUAUUUUGUACUGCAGCCAAGAUCUGUUCACAGAACCCUUUCAACUCACCCUGUAUUCUUUAUUAAACCUAAUUGCAACACUGAAUAGUCAUUUACUUCUAUAUCCUUGCAAGCCCUACUCCCAGAUCCUUUGCUGGCCUUAAUAGUGGUUGGUUGGUUGGUGGAACUUCAGCCACCGUAAAAUCAUUAAUAACUGAUUAAAAUCUCUUAAAUCAAAUUUCUUUCUGAUUUGAAUUCAGUUCUGAAUAUUAGAACUGACUUAGUCGUAUCAUAUUUC